rnacentral:lncRNA from 1 species
UUCUAUAUCUCUAGUCUUAUACAGUAUGUAUAUUCUCUUGUUUAGAUUUUACCAUAUCUACGAGAUUUCCUAUUGUACUAGGUUUAGGGUUAAUCUCAUCUUGUAUAAAUACUAUGGCCUUAGAGCCUAAUAACACAAGUCGACAUUCAGCAAUUCAUAACUUGUCAUGGUAUCAGAGCAUUGAUCCAAUUCAUCUUUGAUUCCUUGAUUACUUGAUCGACUUCUUCUUCUUUUUCUUCAAUCUCUAUUUGACCUUGAAGCAAGAUUUUUCUUCUACUCCAACACACACUUUCCUCACACUGUCGUAAACACCAUCAUCAAAUUCUUCUCC